GUUUAGGGUUUAGGGUUUGGGUUUAGGGUUAUAGGAAGACCAAGCGCUUUGAUUUUUUAUUUUGAUUUUUUUUCUAAAAAUAGAUGACAAAUUCCGAAUUUGAAAUAAGAACAUAUAAAUAGAACCAAUUGCAUUAUGGGAUAAUCACAUGAAUUUUGAAGUCAUUACGUGGAGUUUUCAAUACUGUUGAUGAUUUGUGUUUUUGGAGUGAACCGAAAUGAAUUCUGUAGAUAGUUUAUGAAAGAUGCUGUGAAAUGGAGUGGCUGUUGCCGUCUAGUGAUGAUUCUGUUAGCCAGAUAGCCCACGAAAAUGCCUUAUCUGUGUGUGCGAAUUAUCUUAGAUAUGAGAAUAUUUAUGACUAUUUACAUCGAAUGGAGGAAAAUGUUAUUUGCACGCGCAGUGUGAAUAUCACAUUUGGGGAAUAUUCCCUAUUAUUAGAUAAGAAAUGUGAUGUUGAUGGCGUAGUUAUGGAGUUGAAGGAAUUAAAAGCU